UAGGGAAUAUUGGGCAAUGGGCGAGAGCCUGACCCAGCCAUGCCGCGUGCCGGAAGAAGGCCCUCUGGGUUGUAAACGGCUUUUGACGGGGAAGAAACGACUCUUGCGAGAGGCAUUGACGGUACCCGCAGAAUAAGCACCGGCUAACUCCGUGCCAGCAGCCGCGGUAAUACGGAGGGUGCGAGCGUUGUCCGGAUUUAUUGGGUUUAAAGGGUGCGUAGGCGGUCUGGUAAGUCGGCGGUGAAAGCCCGGGGCUCAACCCCGGAACUGCCAUCGAUACUGUCAGACUUGAGUACGGUUGAGGUUGGCGGAAUGGGCGGUGUAGCGGUGAAAUGCAUAGAUACCGUCCAGAACCCCGAUUGCGAAGGCAGCUGACUAAGCCGUAACUGACGCUGAGGCA
rnacentral:rRNA from 1 species